rnacentral:tRNA from 1 species
UCCCUGGUGGUCCAGUGAUGAGGACUCUGCCCUUUCACUGCUGAGGUCUGGGUUCAACCCCUGGUCAGGGAA